rnacentral:rRNA from 1 species
AGCAGCCGCGGUAAUUCCAGCUCCAAUAGCGUAUAUUAAAGUUGUUGCAGUUAAAAGCUCGUAGUUGAAUUUCGGGGUUCAUCCGUUGGUCGGGCUUUUUGGUCUGUACUGGCGUGAUGGAUUCCUACCUUCUGAAUAACCGGCAUGCCAUUAAUUUGGUGCGCCGGGGAAGCAGGACUGUUACCUUGAAAAAAUUAGAGUGCUUAAAGCAGGCUUAUGCCUGAAUACAUUAGCAUGGAAUAAUGAAAUAGGACGUUUGAUUCUAUUUUGUUGGUUUCUAGGAUCGACGUAAUGAUUAAUAGGGAUAGUUGGGGGCAUUAGUAUUCAAUUGUCAGAGGUGAAAUUCUUGGAUUUAUUGAAGACUAACUACUGCGAAAGCAUUUGCCAAGGAUGUUUUCAUUAAUCAAGAACGAAAGUUAGGGGAUCGAAGACGAUCAGAUACCGUCGUAGUCUUAACCAUAAACUAUGCCGACUAGGGAUCGGAUGAUGUUAAUUUUUUAAUGACUCAUUCGGCGCCUUA